rnacentral:rRNA from 1 species
UACGGGGGGAGCAAGCGUUGUUCGGAAUCACUGGGCGUAAAGGGAGUCUAGGCGGUUUGGUAAGUGGGAUGUGAAAUGCCCGGGCUCACCCCGGGACCUGCAUCCCAAACUGCUGAGCUUGAGUACAGGAGAGGGUGGGGGAAUUCCAGGUGUAGCGGUGAAAUGCGUAGAUAUCUGGAGGAACACCGGUGGCGAAGGCGGCAUCCUGGACCGGCACUGACGCUGAGGAGCGAAAGCCAGGGGAGCAAACGGG